GCGGAGGAAAAGAAACCAACAGGGAUUGCCCUAGUAACGGCGAGUGAAGCGGCAACAGCUCAAAUUUGAAAUCUGGCUCCUUUGGGAGUCCGAGUUGUAAUUUGCAGAGGGUGCUUUGGCAUAGGCGGCGGUCUAAGUUCCUUGGAACAGGACAUCGCAGAGGGUGAGAAUCCCGUACGUGGGCGCCUGCCUUUGCCGUGUAAAGCCCCUUCGACGAGUCGAGUUGUUUGGGAAUGCAGCUCUAAAUGGGAGGUAAAUUUCUUCUAAAGCUAAAUACCGGCCAGAGACCGAUAGCGCACAAGUAGAGUGAUCGAAAGAUGAAAAGUACUUUGGAAAGAGAGUCAAAAAGCACGUGAAAUUGUUGAAAGGGAAGCGCUUGCAGCCAGACUUGCCCGCAGUUGCUCACCUAGGCUUCGGCCUGGGGCACUCUUCUGCGGGCAGGCCAGCAUCAGUUUGGGCGGUUGGAUAAAGGCCUCUGUCACGUAUCUCUCUUCGGGGAGACCUUAUAGGGGAGGCGUAAUGCAACCAGCCCGGACUGAGGUCCGCGCAUCUGCUAGGAUGCUGGCGUAAUGGCUGUAAGCGGCCCGUCUUGAAACACGGACCAAGGAGUCUAACAUCUAUGCGAGUGUUUGGGUGUCAAGCCCGGGCGCGUAAUGAAAGUGAACGGAGGUGGGAACCGCAAGGUGCACCAUCGACCGAUCCUGAUGUCUUCGGAUGGAUUUGAGUAAGAGCAUAGCUGUUGGGACCCGAAAGAUGGUGAACUAUGCUUGAAUAGGGUGAAGCCAGAGGAAACUCUGGUGGAGGCUCGCAGCGGUUCUGACGUGCAAAUCGAUCGUCAAAUUUGGGCAUAGGGGCGAAAGACUAAUCGAACCAUCUAGUAGCUGGUUCCUG
rnacentral:sRNA from 1 species